GUGGGGAAUAUUGGACAAUGGGCGAAAGCCUGAUCCAGCCAUGCCGCGUGUGUGAAGAAGGUCUUCGGAUUGUAAAGCACUUUAAGUUGGGAGGAAGGGCAGUAAGUUAAUACCUUGCUGUUUUGACGUUACCAACAGAAUAAGCACCGGCUAACUUCGUGCCAGCAGCCGCGGUAAUACGAAGGGUGCAAGCGUUAAUCGGAAUUACUGGGCGUAAAGCGCGCGUAGGUGGUUCAGCAAGUUGAAGGUGAAAUCCCCGGGCUCCACCUGGGAACUGCCUCCAAAGCUACUGAGCUAGAGUACGGUAGAGGGUAGUGGAAUUUCCUGUGUAGCGGUGAAAUGCGUAGAUAUAGGAAGGAACACCAGUGGCGAAGGCGACUACCUGGACUGAUACUGACACUGAGGUGCGAAAGCGUGGGGAGCAAACAGGAUUAGAUACCCUUGUAGUCC
rnacentral:rRNA from 1 species